rnacentral:rRNA from 1 species
GAGACCCAUAUCCUUAUUUGCCACUUCCUUUCUUCGGAUAGGAAAGCACAAUAAGGAGACUGCCACCGAAAGGUGGAGGAGGGUGUGGGCAACGGUAGGUCAGUACGUCCUGAAUCCCCUGGGCUACACGCGCAAUGCAAUGGCAGGCACAAUGGGAAGCGACACCGAAAGGUGAAGCAAAUCUCAAAAAACCUGUCUUAGUUUGAACUGAGGGCUGUAACUUGCCCUCAUGAAACCGAAAUCCCUAGUAAUCGCGUUUCAACAAGGCGCGAUGAAUAC